GACGAACGCUGGCGGCGUGCUUAACACAUGCAAGUCGAACGGAAAGGCCCUGCUUUUGUGGGGUGCUCGAGUGGCGAACGGGUGAGUAACACGUGAGUAACCUGCCCUUGACUUUGGGAUAACUUCAGGAAACUGGGGCUAAUACCGGAUAGGAGCUCCUGCUGCAUGGUGGGGGUUGGAAAGUUUCGGCGGUUGGGGAUGGACUCGCGGCUUAUCAGCUUGUUGGUGGGGCAGUGGUUUACCCAGGCUUUGACGGGUAGCCGGCCUGAGAGGGUGACCGGCCACAUUGGGACUGAGAUACGGCCCAGACUCCUACGGGAGGCAGCAGUGGGGAAUAUUGCACAAUGGGCGGAAGCCUGAUGCAGCAACGCCGCGUGCGGGAUGACGGCCUUCGGGUUGUAAACCGCUUUCGCCUGUGACGAAGCGUGAGUGACGGUAAUGGGUAAAGAAGCACCGGCUAACUACGUG
rnacentral:rRNA from 1 species